AUUGAACGCUGGCGGCAUGCCUUACACAUGCAAGUCGAACGGCAGCACGGGAGCAAUCCUGGUGGCGAGUGGCGAACGGGUGAGUAAAGCAUCGGAACGUGCCCAGUCGUGGGGGAUAACGUAGCGAAAGUUACGCUAAUACCGCAUACGAUCUACGGAUGAAAGCGGGGGAUCGCAAGACCUCGCGCGAUUGGAGCGGCUGAUAUCAGAUUAGGUAGUUGGUGGGGUAAAGGCUCACCAAGCCGACGAUCUGUAGCUGGUCUGAGAGGACGACCAGCCACACUGGGACGGAGACACGGCCCAGACUCCUACGGGAGGCAGCAGUGGGGAAUUUUGGACAAUGGGCGCAAGCCUGAUCCAGCCAUGCCGCGUGCAGGAUGAAGGCCUUCGGGUUGUAAACUGCUUUUGUACGGAACGAAAAGGUUUGGCCUAAUAAGCUGGACCCAUGACGGUACCGUAAGAAUAAGCACCGGCUAACUACGUGCCAGCAGCCGCCGUAA
rnacentral:rRNA from 1 species